rnacentral:rRNA from 1 species
GAUGAACGCUGGCGGCGUGCCUAAUACAUGCAAGUCGAGCGAACAGACGAGGAGCUUGCUCCUCUGACGUUAGCGGCGGACGGGUGAGUAACACGUGGAUAACCUACCUAUAAGACUGGGAUAACUUCGGGAAACCGGCGCUAAUACCGGAUAAUAUAUUGAACCGCAUGGUUCAAUAGUGAAAGACGGUUUUGCUGUCACUUAUAGAUGGAUCCGCGCCGCAUUAGCUAGUUGGUAAGGUAACGGCUUACCAAGGCAACGAUGCGUAGCCGACCUGAGAGGGUGAUCGGCCACACUGGAACUGAGACACGGUCCAGACGCCUACGGGAGGCAGCAGUAGGGAAUCGGCCGCAAUGGGCGAAAGCCUGACGGAGCAACGCCGCGUGAGUGAUGAAGGUCUUCGGAUCGUAAAACUCUGUUAUUAGGGAAGAACAAAUGUGUAAGUAACUAUGCACGUCUUGACGGUACCUAAUCAGAAAGCCACGGCUAACUACGUG